rnacentral:lncRNA from 10 species
ACUCACCUGCUCCAGUCCCUCCUUGAGCAAACAGGGUGAGGCUGAGCUCCCAGCAGGAGGCCUAACAUCCGGGUGGCCCAGCCGCACCCCUACAAAGGCCACAUCCUGCUUCAGGACCCUCAGAGACAUCCGAUCUGGCCACACUGGGCUUGCAUUCUUAGCUGGCAACCAUGAGGUGGACCCAUGAGGUGGAAGCCGGGAAUGAGAGGUGCCUAACUCUACCUGAUCGCUUUUGCCCCAUGGGGGUUCUAGGCGGGACACCUGGAUUCUUAGGCCAGGCGACUUUUGCCUCCUGGCUGCAUUUCUGUAAGACUCUGCUAUUCCUGGCACCGUGGGAGCAGAUACUGACACUCCCAGCUCAUUUAUCCCAUAGGUUCUGAACCUGGGGUGCAGCCAUGGGUAAGGGGACCGUAUUGUAAAGCCUCUGAAAUUGCAAAACUGGGCGUGCAGGCUCAUUUCUCAGCAGAGGGCCCUGAAGUCAAUCAUAUUUUCAAAGGAAGCCAGGAUUCCCAGAAGUUUUAAGAGGCCUGGCUU